GCAAGUCGAACGAGAACGGAUAUUAGCUUGCUAAUAUUGUCAGCUAAGUGGCGCACGGGUGAGUAAUAUAUAGUUAAUCUGCCCCAAAGAAGAGAAUAAUUGUUGGAAACGACUUGUAAUGCUCUAUAUGCCUUUAUCACAUAAGUGAGCAAGGGAAAUAUUUAUAGCUUUGGGAUGAGACUGUGCGGUAUCAGCUUGUUGGUAAGGUAAUGGCUUACCAAGACUAUGACGCCUAGCUGGUUUGAGAGGAUGAUC
rnacentral:rRNA from 1 species